rnacentral:tRNA from 2 species
GCCGGUGUAGCUCAGGGGUAGAGCUGCGAUUUUGUAAGUCGAGGGUCGGGGGUUCGAAUCCCUCCACCGGCACCA